AUUGAACGCUGGCGGCAGGCCUAACACAUGCAAGUCGAGCGGAUGAAGGGAGCUUGCUCCUGGAUUCAGCGGCGGACGGGUGAGUAAUGCCUAGGAAUCUGCCUGGUAGUGGGGGAUAACGUCCGGAAACGGGCGCUAAUACCGCAUACGUCCUGCGGGAGAAAGUGGGGGAUCUUCGGACCUCACGCUAUCAGAUGAGCCUAGGUCGGAUUAGCUAGUUGGUGGGGUAAAGGCCUACCAAGGCGACGAUCCGUAACUGGUCUGAGAGGAUGAUCAGUCACACUGGAACUGAGACACGGGCCAGACUCCUACGGGAGGCAGCAGUGGGGAAUAUUGGACAAUGGGCGAAAGCCUGAUCCAGCCAUGCCGCGUGUGUGAAGAAGGUCUUCGGAUUGUAAAGCACUUUAAGUUGGGAGGAAGGGCAGUGAGUUAAUACCUUGCUGUUUUGACGUUACCAACAGAAUAAGCACCGGCUAACUUCGUG
rnacentral:rRNA from 1 species